GAUGAACGCUGGCGGCGUGCCUAACACAUGCAAGUCGAACGAAGCACCUUUUAAGAUUCCUCGGAUGAUUGAUUGGUGACUGAGUGGCGGACGGGUGAGUAACGCGUGGGUAACCUGCCCUGUACAGGGGGAUAACAGUUGGAAACGGCUGCUCAUACCGCAUAAGCGCACGAGAGGACAUCCUCUUGUGUGAAAAACUCCGGUGGUACAGGAUGGGCCCGCGUCUGAUUAGCUGGUUGGCAGGGUAACGGCCUACCAAGGCGACGAUCAGUAGCCGGUCUGAGAGGAUGAACGGCCACAUUGGAACUGAGACACGGUCCAAACUCCUACGGGAGGCAGCAGUGGGGAAUAUUGCACAAUGGGGGAAACCCUGAUGCAGCAACGCCGCGUGAGUGAAGAAGUAUUUCGGUAUGUAAAGCUCUAUCAGCAGGGAAGAUAAUGACGGUACCUGACUAAGAAGCUCCGGCUAAAUACGUGCCAGCCGCCGCCGUAA
rnacentral:rRNA from 1 species